CCCUUUUGUUAUCCGACCGCGUUGCCUCGGGGGUGACCCGGACGCCNANCGGCGUUGGGUGCCCCCGGUGGACCACAAUCAAACUCUUGCAUCUUUGCGUCUGAGUAAUAUUUGAAUCAAAUCAAAACUUUCAACAACGGAUCUCUUGGUUCUGGCAUCGAUGAAGAACGCAGCGAAAUGCGAUAAGUAAUGUGAAUUGCAGAAUUCAGUGAAUCAUCGAAUCUUUGAACGCACAUUGCGCCCUCUGGUAUUCCGGAGGGCAUGCCUGUUCGAGCGUCAUUACACCACUCAAGCCUAGCUUGGUAUUGGGCGUCGCGGUCACACGCGCGCCUCAAUUGUACCGGCCGAGCACCCGAUCUCCGAGCGUAGAAGAAAUAUUUUCGCUUUCGAGUUAGGGGACUUGCGCCGUUAAGCCUCUUUACAAAGGUUGACUUCGGAUCAGGUAGG
rnacentral:rRNA from 1 species